rnacentral:tRNA from 1 species
GGAUUGUGGCUUAGUGGUAGAGUGCUGGCCUAGCACGAGCGAGGCCCUGAGUUCAAUCCUCAGCACCA